rnacentral:rRNA from 1 species
CUGAGUACGGCGGAACACGUGAAAUUCCGUCGGAAUCCGGGAGGACCAUCUCCCAAGGCUAAAUACUCCCUAGUGACCGAUAGUGAACCAGUACCGUGAGGGAAAGGUGAAAAGCACCCCGGAAGGGGAGUGAAACAGUUCCUGAAACCGUGUGCCUACAAGUAGUUAGAGCCCGUUAAUGGGUGAUAGCGUGCCUUUUGUAGAAUGAACCGGCGAGUUACGAUUUGUUGCAAGGUUAAGCGGAAAAAGCGGAGCCGUAGCGAAAGCGAGUCUGAAUAGGGCGCAUAAGUAACAGGUCGUAGACCCGAAACCAGGUGAUCUACCCAUGUCCAGGAUGAAGGUAAGGUAAUACUUACUGGAGGUCCGAACCCACGCACGUUGAAAAGUGCGGGGAUGAGGUGUGGGUAGCGGAGAAAUUCCAAUCGAACUUGGAGAUAGCUGGUUCUCUCCGAAAUAGCUUUAGGGCUAGCCUCGAGGUAAAGAGUCAUGGAGGUAGAGCACUGUUUGGACUAGGGGCCCUUCUCGGGUUACCGAAUUCAGAUAAACUCCGAAUGCCAUGUACUUAUACUCGGGAGUCAGACUGCGAGUGAUAAGAUCCGUAGUCGAAAGGGAAACAGCCCAGACCACCAGUUAAGGUCCCCAAAUAUAUGUUAAGUGGAAAAGGAUGUGGGGUUGCUUAGACAACCAGGAUGUUGGCUUAGAAGCAGCCACCAUUGAAAGAGUGCGUAAUAGCUCACUGGUCGAGUGACCCCGCGCCGAAAAUGUACCGGGGCUAAACAUAUUACCGAAACUGUGGAUGAACCUCUUUAGAGGUUCGUGGUAGGAGAGCGUUCUAAGGGCGGUGAAGUCAGACCGGAAGGACUGGUGGAGCGCUUAGAAGUGAGAAUGCCGGUAUGAGUAGCGAAAGAAGGGUGAGAAUCCCUUCC